UUUGGCUUCUUAAUAAACAAUCUCAACGAUUACACAAUUUGUCACCAAACUAAAUCCUAGUAUCCUCAAAAAACAUCAUCAUCAUCUAAACAUUUUUGUUACACAUUUAUGGCUUUCCUAAAUCAUAACAUAAAUCACUUGUUCAUUACUACUUUGCUCAUUUUUUGUACCUUUUAUUCAUGUUAUAGUUCAGUCAACGACACAAUUACAUCAUCCAAAUCACUCAAAGACCAAGAGACUAUAACCUCAAACAACACAAAUUUCAAGCUAGGAUUUUUCAGCCCAAAAAAUUCAACCAACCGUUACCUAGGAAUUUGGUAUAUCAAUGAAACCAACAACAUAUGGAUUGCAAACAGAGAUCAACCUCUUAAAGAUUCAUCAGGAAUAGUCACAAUUGACAAACAUGGAAAUCUUGUAAUAUUGAACAAUCAAAAUGGUACCAUCAUUUGGACAACAAAUAUUUCAAAUACUUCAACAAAUUCAACAGCUCAACUUAAUGAUUUAGGAAACUUGAUUCUAAGGGACAACAAUUCUGGAAUAACAAUUUGGGAUAGUUUCUCACACCCUGCAGAUGCAGCUGUUCCAACAAUGAGAAUUUCAACUAAUAAAAUAACAGGUAAGAAAAUAGCUUUUGUAGCAAGAAAAAGUGACAAUGAUCCUUCUUCAGGACCAUUUUCAGCUAGUAUUGAAAGAUUGGGUACCCCGGAAGUGUUUAUUUGGCAUGAUACAAAUAUUCAUUGGAGAACUGGUCCAUGGAAUGGAAGAGUUUUUCUCGGAUCACCAAGAAUGUUAACCGAGUAUUUAUCCGGUUGGCGUUUAGUUCCGGACGAUGAUGAAACUUAUUUAACUUACGAUUUCAAAGACAAAACUAUGUUUGGAAUUCUCUCAUUGACACCACAUGGAAAACUUAAGUUGGUUGAGUAUAUUAAUAAAAAGGAAAUUUUAAGACUUGAGGUUGAUCAAAGACACUUUCCUAUGAUCCUCACUUCCCCCCCAAAAAAAUUUAAUCAAUAUAGAUUCAAUAGAAGAGAUAAUACCUGAGGGAGCUUUAAAGAAAGAAAGAGCAUAAACAGGCAAAGAAGUCAGCACAGAUUUAAGCAAAACUAAACGACCACCAAUAGAGAGGAAUCGACUUCUCCAACCCGAUAACCUAUUCUUUAGACGAUCCAAAACCGGUUCCCAAAAACAUAAACGCCUCGGAUCACCCCCAAUAGGAAGGCCCAAGUAAAGGAAAGGGAUCUUCCCUACUUUACAGCACAUAGCAGACGCCGCCUCACCUAACCAAGAAUCAGGGAUGUUAACCCCAACCAGCAUGCUUUUGUGAAAAUUCACUCGCAAACCAGACAUAGACUCGAACAACACAAGGACAGCGCGCAAAGCUCGUACGUUCGCCCAGCUCUUAGUCCCCAUCAACAACGUAUCAUCAGCAAACUGAAGAUGCGACACCGACACUUGUGCAAGUUCACCCACACUGUACCCCGUAAACAUAUUGCGCUCCACCAUUGCUUCCAUCAAUACAUGAAAUUAUAGGAACAUACAAAACGAGUUUAAAUGUCAACUCAGAGUAUGAAGAGUCAACUCUGAAGUUAUCUAUACCAAAGACAAGCAUGGUUCUGAACGAGGAGUCAAAAGCAGUCAAGUUUUGAACAGGAAAGCAUCAAGAAAACAUCUACGGUUAACUCUAAAGCGAGAUAAUUCAACCCUUUGUGGAAAUCAGACUACGCUGUGAAGACUGAAUCUGAAACUAAAGAUUGGUUCUGAGUUGAAGACCAUUUAUAAAGCUGAAAAUGAAAUCCGAAGCCGAAGACAAGUUCUAAAGAAGAGACGUGUUCUGGAAAGAGCCUAUAGCCUCUAUGUGAUUCUAGUGCUUAUCAAAAGAUUCGUAGUGACAAUGAUAAGUCAUGUCCUUCCUGAAAACCUGCUCACUAGACUGACACAUUUGUCCUCUUGCUCAAGAACGUCAAACUUCAUUGGCUUGCACAAAGUAAUUUGUAUCGGUCAUAUUAAAUGUUACAUGAAACAUGCUCACAGUCAACGAUGUUGAAGAAAGAUUAUUUCCAAGUGGUUCAAUUAUUGAAGAAGUAUUAGUGUUUAACAUUAGUCUUCAAAUUUUGUCAAAAAAACAAACAUUACUCUUGAAAUUAUGAGUGUAUAAUAUACGGAUCAUUGGGAGUUAUGGUAGGGGUAAGUGUUGUCGUUGUAAAGUGAUCCUAGUGUAGCUCCCUUAUCCAAUUAAUUAGUCCUUUUUUCUUUGGACAACACUUAUCCUAUUAGUCUUAGAUAUAGAAAGUAGAAGAAAAUAUUUUGAAUAACACCUUCAUAUUUUGGAUAAAGACAAA